GGGCGGCAACUCUCCAACUGACAGCUGCAACACUGUGUCUCUCGCUGCUGUGUUCACGUCUUCAGGAGUAACACUUCUACAACAGAAGAAGCUCCAAGAUAUCUACAUUUCUGAAGGAAGCUGCUGACAGAGAUAGAAACAUAGCCAACACUGAGAUCAUUCCGCACGUGCACAAGCCUGAGUGACUUCGUGGGAGAAACAGCGCCGCCAUCUUGUCAAGUUCACGAGUCAGGGUGUGGCCAAAGGUUUCAUUGGUGCUUUGUCAUCACUGCAAGAUUUCAGAUGCAACCCAGUCAGUUCUUGCAAGGCACCAAACACCAGACCGCUCCACUGCAACUACAUACUGUGUACCUUCAAGACUAGGAGUUCAAUGUUUUCAUUCCAGGUAAUGUGUGUAAAUGUGUGUUUACUACAAUUAAAAUGUGCUUUAUUGUUCUCAGUGGCAUCUACGCUAAUAUUAGUCUGUUUCAUUCUUAUUCCGAGGUCACCAUAGCCACCCAGAUCCAGUCCGUAUCCAGAUCAGAUGGUGGAUCAGCACCUAGAGACGACCUCUACAGCCCUGAAUGUCAGCGGAGACCAUGUGAGCUAGAUGAGCUCCAGCGACAGAUCCCCAGUGAAGACCUCGUUGGCUGUCGGGACAAGACCACAAGAACCAGACAAGUCCUCUGCUCAAUCUGACCUGUGCAGGAAUUAAACCAUGCCAUGCUGGUUUCGUCUGGCCAGAGGAGAACUGCCCCUCGACUGAGCCUGGUUUCUCCCAAGGUUUUCUACUCAGUUUCUGUCACCGAUGGAGUUUUGAGUCCUUGCCGCUGUCGCCUUUGGCUUGCUUAUUUGGGGACGCUUGGCUGAUUGCAUAGACACUAUUGGAAGAGAGCUGAACUGACUUUAACUGGAAAAAUGACUUGUUAAUGUCCUCUUGCAUUAUUAACAAACUAUUUUCCUGUUUGACACGAUCAGUAUUGUAUAAAGUGCAUUAUAAAUAAAGGUGACUUGACUUGAUUUUAUAUACUGUAACAUAGGGCUGGGCGAUAUGAGCAACAAUUCAUAUCUCGGUAUUUUUUGGCUGAUGUGCGGUAUACGGUAUAUAUCUCGGUAUUUUGUAUUUGGAUUAAACAAAUAAAGUGAAUGCAAGCAUGAAGGCAUAUAUUAUGUGCAAAAAGGGUUAAAAUCACAUUACAUUCUAACAUUGUAACAUUGCAAUCUAAAAACAAAAAUAAUGUUUUUAAAGCAGAAGUUAAAUUUACUAAACUAAAAUUGAAAAUAAUAAAAAAGCACAGACUAAUUGAGUAAAAACGCUAUUUUGAUUACCCCAUUACACUUUACAGUUUGUGCUAUCAUACAAAUACACUUACUUGUCGGUUUAAAAUUCUACAUAUGUCACAUUUAUUUUCCAACUACAAAUAUUUCAGCAAAAUGUAUAUUUUAGUCAGAGUUAUUGCGCUCCAUCUGUUUGGCGAGCAUGCGCAUGGCGGCCCUCGUUCUAAAUGGUCUGUGAAGUUUAGCGGAGAAUUGCAAAGCAAAAGCUCACGCACUUCUGACUGCAAAAUGGAAAUAUUUCCAUGGCUUUCUAACAUUUACAGAUGGAGAAUAUACCUGUGAAAUGUAAGUUAUGCGUUAAGGAAAACAGCACGUCUCUGUCAGCGGCACACACAGCCUUUCUGUCAGAGCCGCUUUAAACUGAAACUAUAAACUAUAGGCUACUAUAUCUUACGAUUUUUCUUAAAGCCCUUCAUAUAAAGCCUGAUACAUGUAGAACAAAUUGUAUUAUGCACUUUCUCCGCAGCAGUUCAGUCUGUGUCCUCCCUAGAUAUUUUUUUCAGAUCGUAUCAAACUACUUAUAUCGAUAUUAAUGGUAUUGCUUCAUACCGUAUCGCUUAUAAAGAAUAUAUCAAUAUAUUGUACAAACUCGAUAUACCGCCCAGCCCUACUGUAACACCUUUUUUAUUUUUGUGACUUCUGCCUCAUUUUAAAGAUGUAAUUGUGAACAGUAGUAAUAUUUGUAAAUGUUUGUUUGCUAACAUUUUGUUUAGCUUGUUUAGGUUUUUCUUAGUUCAUUAAAGUUUAAACUGAAUUUUGCAGUUAUAUUACAGAUGUAAUGUUUGUCAGCUGGAGCUUUAAAGGGAUAGUUCACUCAAAAAUGAAAAUUUGCUGUUAAUUUACUGACCCUUAGGCCAUCCGAGAUGUAGGUGACAUUUUUUCUUUAAGCCUGUAUGUUUAGUCUGUAUGACAAAUGUUAUAA